UGGGGAAUUGUUCGCAAUGGGCGCAAGCCUGACGACGCAACGCCGCGUGGAGGAUGAAGGUCUUCGGAUUGUAAACUCCUGUUGAUUGGGACGAACAUCCAUCGGGUUAAUACCCCGGAGGACUGACGGUACCGAUUGAGGAAGCCCCGGCUAACUCUGUGCCAGCAGCCGCGGUAAUACAGAGGGGGCAAGCGUUGUUCGGAAUUACUGGGCGUAAAGGGCGCGUAGGCGGCCACCUAAGUCAGACGUGAAAUCCCUCGGCUCAACCGGGGAACUGCGUCUGAUACUGGGUGGCUUGAAUCCGGGAGAGGGAUGUGGAAUUCCAGGUGUAGCGGUGAAAUGCGUAGAUAUCUGGAGGAACACCGGUGGCGAAGGCGGCAUCCUGGACCGGCAUUGACGCUGAGGCGCGAAAGCCAGGGGAGCAAACGGGAUUAGAUACCCCGGUAGUCCUGGCCCUAAACGAUGAAUGCUUGGUGUGGCGGGUAUCGAUCCCUGCCGUGCCGAAGCUAACG
rnacentral:rRNA from 1 species